GAAUAUGGUGGCUGUGCGUGGGGUACCUUCGGGUGCACCGGUUUUCCUAUUGACCGGCCUACUAACCUGCGUACAGCCGCCACCCAA
rfam:Pseudomonas sp. TW4, complete genome.